rnacentral:tmRNA from 1 species
GGGGCUAUUUUUGGAUUCUAUUAGGAGAAUUCGUUAGUCUUAUAUGCUAUCAGGGAGGUGUUUGUGGCUUCCUCUAAUCAAUUACAAACAAGCAUAACUGCAAACAAAACUACUGCUUUAAGCAGAUUUAAGGCAACUAUUAAAGGAGCUUUUACUCCUUUAGCAAUUGCUGCAUAAUCAAGAGUUAUUAAACUAACCUUGAUGUCGCCUCCCCAAGUGGGAUGAUACCGAUUGGUUGCGACAAAUCACUAGAAAAUUUUACUUUGGAAGUUUCUCGUGAUUAUAAAACAAAGUCCUUAUUUCAGGUUAUUUAAAGUAUUUUCCUCGUCAUAUUGUACUAAAAAAACUUUCUUAUAGAUACUUUUUGUUUACUUUGAUAUCUAUGAGUACCAAGAUAAACUAUGAUAGUAGAAAUAUCUGAUUAGCCUCCUAAGAUGUGGGUUCAAAUCCCACUAGCUCCACCA